GGACCUACAACACUCUGACCAAAAGCCACCUAAACCUGUGUUCUAAGGGUCAGUCAGUGAGUGGGGUGUACAGGGUGCUGGUUAGAGGGGGAGGGUACAUGUGGGCAAAGACUCACAGUGCUGUCAUCUCCAAACCCCGCCCAUCACAGCCACACCAAUCUAAGCCCUCACCGCCACUCUUCGUUGCUUGUGUCACAUACAUCCUCAGUGGUGUUGAAGAGCCAACUCAGCUGCUGUCUCUGGGCCAGAUGAACUGAGGGGAGAAACCUCUAGCCCCUCCCUGGACCUCUUCAGGAAGGACAUUUUUCAUUCUAUAAAACAAUUCUGCAUUUUCUACAUUAAAUCUUAGCUUUAUUUAGUAUAGCUGUAGCUACAUAUUGUGAAAAAGCGGUGUGAAGGUAUUAAUGUGA